rnacentral:lncRNA from 1 species
GUCCUAUUCUGCUUCUAAAUUUGGCAAUGAAGCAAAAACUUUCCCUAGAAUCUUACUUAUUCUAUUAUUACAGUAGGCUUCUUAGUAAUAGUAAAAAAUAAUUGUUCCCCUUCCAUCCAAAUUAUUACAUUGUUUUUGUUGGAAUAAUCUAAUCAAAUAAAUUGUGAUUACCCUUUGAAUAACACUCUGACUCUAUCUGGAAAGUGAGGUGUAAUAUAUGAGCAGAUAAUAUAGAAAAUGAAAUACAAACCAGGGGGUAUUGGUAGCCUCAAGGCUAUAUUCAGAGCACAGACAUGUUUACCCAAAAAAGGAUUUUUAAAAAUUUGAAUUAGUUCAGUUAAAAAUGGUGAGUUAAAAAAAAGUGUUGUUUUUAAACAUUUUUUGGUUUGGUGUCUCUAAAAUCGUGAGAAAGUCUAGCAACAUUAAAUUUUUAUUUUUGGGGGAUAGCAGUCAGAUGAAAAUGAGCUGUGCCCUUCAGACAGGUGGGCGGAAUAAUGACCUUCCAAGAUGUUUAUGUCAUAAUCCCUGGAACCUGUGACAUGGCUAAGGAAGAAUUAACAUUGCUAAUCAGCUGAACCUAAAAUGGGGAGAUUAUUCUAAGUUAUCAAGGUAGGCCCAGUCUAAUCAUGUGAGCUCUUAAUAUCAGAGUUGGGCAACAUGAAAACUCAGCCCUCCAUUGCUGGUUGUGAAGAUGGAGGAAGGAAACCAUGAGCCAAGGAAUUCAGUGGCUUCUAGAAGCUGGAAAUGGCACUCAGAUUAUAGCCAGCAAGAAAACACAGACCAUAGACCUAAGUUUCACAGAACUAAAUUCUGCCAACAACUCAAAUGGAGAGGAAAAGGAUUCUCUUUUAGAGCCUUCGGAAAGGGAUAAAGCCUGUUGACAUCUUGAUGAGACUGUAUUAGACUUCUGACCUACAGAACUGUAAGGUAUUUGUAUUGCUUUAAGUCUCUAAGUAUGUGGUUAUUUGUUAUGGCAGCAAAAGCAAAUACGCAGGCCAUAUACACCUUCUACAUCACCAAAGUUGUCACCACAACAAAGAAGACACGUAAAUGACUCAUAAACACAUAAGAUGCCUGACAUCAUUAGUCAAUAUUAAAAUGUAAUUUAAAUCACAAUAAAGUACUACUUCACGCUCAUGAGGCUGGCUGUAAUUAAAAUGAUAGAUGAAAACAACUGUUGGUGAGAAUAUGGAGAAACUGAACUAUCCUACAUUGCUGGUGGAAAUGUAAAGUGGUGCAGUCUCUUUGAAACAUAGUUGGCACUUUCUUCAAUAGUAAACAUAAAUGCGCCAAACAACCCAGAAAUUUCACUCCUAGUCAACUGGGGAGCUCAGUGAGAUUCUCCUGCUAUACUCUCAUCAGUUUUAAGCCAUUCGGAUUUGGAAGAUUUCUGAGCAAGAUGGCUGAGUGCUGAAUUUAACAGCCAAGAUGAUUCUCCAAUCUCUGUGCUUAUGUCUGCACACAUCAGAGACUCUCCUUUACCUAGCCCUGUUUAUUCCUGAACACAAAGUAAUUAAUACUUCAAAGUGUUAGGUAGCCGGGUAUCCAUCGCUUGCCUUCACUCCUCUGUAAGCAUCAGGGACCACAAAACACAGGUUUUAUUUAUUGCUGUAGGUUCCACAACAUGUGGCAGAGGGUGUGCUCACAACAGGAGCUGGUGAACCACCUAACACUGUGAGUGUAGACAUUGGCACAGGUGUGGAUGAUAAACUCAGGUAAGGGUACAAAUACAGUCUUAAGGCAAUGUACAUUUGAGCCUUUGUUUUUAGAGGGACUGCUUGAUAGACUUUCCAGCAGACCUAUACAAACCCUAGCAGCUAAGGUGCAAGGAUGCAGCUCCCUAUGCCCUGGGUGUGGUGUCUGUAGUCAUACUUCACCAGGCAGCCCCUCUCCUCCCCUUCCCUGGUGCCUCUUUGGCUGCUCUGUCUCUCUUCCCUGGCUUUGAACUUGUUGGCAGCCUCCAAUAACCCCUCUUCAAAGAGCUGAAGGCAAGCCUGAUGUUACAAUUGCCUUGCUUAAUUCCAGACAGGUUUCUAUUAAUCGUAUUAAAUUCGGGUGAACAAAGGGCAUUUAGUCUGUGAUAGAGCUGAACCAUAUCUGGAUUAAUAUAAACAAGAGAAUUAAUCCUGCAAGAGCCACUAUCUGCCAGCAAGUGGAAAGAUGUCAGCAGUGCCCUUGCUAAAGCAGGUUGGAGGGUGGAUGGCAGGAGAGAUUUAACAAGAUUGGUGCUGAGCAUCUGGACUCUGUAUAAAGAGGGG